rnacentral:rRNA from 1 species
UACGAAGGGGGCUAGCGUUGCUCGGAAUCACUGGGCGUAAAGCGCACGUAGGCGGAUCUUUAAGUCAGGGGUGAAAUCCUGGAGCUCAACUCCAGAACUGCCUUUGAUACUGGGGAUCUCGAGUCCGGAAGAGGUGAGUGGAACUCCGAGUGUAGAGGUGAAAUUCGUAGAUAUUCGGAAGAACACCAGUGGCGAAGGCGGCUCACUGGUCCGGUACUGACGCUGAGGCGCGAAAGCCAGGGGAGCAAACGGG